CCUGGCUCAGGAUGAACGCUGGCGACGUGUCUAAGGCAUGCAAGUCGAGGGGUCCGUAGCAAUACGGACACCGGCAAACGGGUGCGUAACACAUUGGUAACUUACCCCGAAGUCAUGAAUAAGCCUGCGAAAGCGGGUCUAAUACAUGAUGGAAGCGAGGGGACUAAAGUCAUUCUCGCUUAAAGAUUUAUCGCUUCGGGAAAGGCCUAUGGCCUAUCAGCUAGUUGGUGAGGUAAAAGCUCACCAAGGCUACGACGGGUAGCGGGAUUGAGAGAUCGACCCGCCUCACUGGGACUGAGAUACUGCCCAGACUCCUACGGGAGGCUGCAGUCAAGAAUAUUCCCCMAUGGCCGAAAGGCUGAGGGAGCGMCGUCGCGUGCAUGAAGAAACCCUYCGGGGUGUAAAGCAAUSACGGUMCUCAGUGAAYAAGGG
rnacentral:rRNA from 1 species